ensembl:snRNA U1 U1 spliceosomal RNA
ACACUUACCUGGCAGAGGAGAUACCAUGAUCACGAAGGUGGUUUUCUGAGAGCAAGGCUUAUCCAUUGCACUCCGGAUGUGCUGACCCCUGUGAUUUCCUAAAUGUGGGAAUCUUGACUGCAUAAUUUAUGGUAAUGGGGGACUGCUUUCAUGCUUUCCCUUG